rnacentral:lncRNA from 1 species
GGAUUCUUUGAUUUAUAUGAUUUGCGAUUGGAGAAUUCGGCGUGAAUUAGUCGACGGUUAACCGAUCCGCAAGCACUGGCCCCAACUCGUGGCCGCGCUCGAAAGCGAGCGCAAUAUCAAACAUGUGAGCAGCCGCCUGGCGCCACUGGCGCGUGAGACGCCCACGCUGACAAUGCAAACGGCGCGCACGCUGUCGCGCGGUCCAGCAUCGAGGGUGCUCUUGGCAAACAUGCUCGUGCCCGACGAGGUCAAGGCGCUCAUUGCGGCGCAGCACGUCUCUCGAAUUUGCGGUCGCGUCGACAGGUCGACUCGACAUUCUCAAGUGGCUGCGCGACAACGGCGCCCCCUGGGGCCAGUGGACCAUUUCGAUGGAGCGCCGUGGACGCCAUCUCGACCUGGUGCCAUGGGCCAUGGCCAACGGAUGUCCAUGGCGCAGCGCCACAUGGGGGGCCGACGCCAUUUGAAUGUAUCGCGGCAUUGCCAUUCGACAAGAUGUCUACUUUUCUUUGCUGUCAAAAAUACAUAAAAAUGGCGAUCGCUGUUCAU